rnacentral:rRNA from 1 species
AACGAACGCUGGCGGCGUGCCUAACACAUGCAAGUCGUGCGAGAAAGUUCCUUCGGGAGCGAGUAAAGCGGCGCACGGGUGAGUAACACGUAGGUAACCUGCCCCCCAGUCUGGAACAACUAGAGGAAACUCUAGCUAAUGCCGGAUGAGACCACGAUCCCUUCGGGGGUUGCGGCCAAAAGAUGGCCUCUACUUGUAAGCUAUCGCUGAGGGAUGGGCCUGCGGGCCAUUAGCUUGUUGGUGAGGUAACGGCUCACCAAGGCUGUGAUGGCUAGCUGGUCUGAGAGAAUGACCAGCCACACUGGGACUGAGACACGGCCCAGACUCCUACGGAGGCAGCAGUGGGGAAUAUUGCGCAAUGGGCGAAAGCCUGACGCAGCGACGCCGCGUGGGUGAUGAAGGCCU